UGCUUCUGAUCUUGCUCCCUUCUAGGUUGGGAUCAUGCUAGAAAGGCUUCUCCAGGAGCUUGGCUUCAGGAAGGUUUCCAGCCUCUGGAGCCUCGUGCAGGUAUGUUCUCAGCAUCCCACCAAGGAAUAAUCUUUGAUAACCUGGUAGGAACUAGAAACUUCAGUGACUGUUGAGUUACAGGUGUGUCUGCAGGGAAGUCUUUUCCAGCUCCUUUGCUGGUUGUUCCACAUCAGCCCAGAUCCCAUCGCAGGGGUGAGUAGUGUGUCCCUGCUGACCCCACAGACUGAGCACUGCUUUUGAGGGAUCCAUUCAUCUGAAAUGGAAAUACUUUCUGAUAAGGUCCGCCAAGCAGAAAUGAAAUUUCACCAGAAAUGAAAGCAGAGGCUAUGCUGAAGACUGAGUUUCCCAGAAGGAAGCAGUGGCUCAUGGGCAGCCUCUGCUGCAGAAACCGAGGCGAUGCCAGACUCAGUCACAGGAGAGAUGGAGCAAAAGGCCUUGCUGGAGGCAGCGUUUUCUAGAUUAAUCAGUGGCUCUGAGCCACCACCUGGUACACGAAGGGAGGAGAUGCCAGACAGAGCCACAGAAGGUGAUUGCUGUGCCAGGCCCAGGCAGGCUGAACAGUCCUGCUGGGAUCCUUCCGUGGGAGACACCGCCCGAAACCUGGG
rnacentral:lncRNA from 1 species